CUUAAAGGAAUUGACGGGGGGGCACCACCAGGCGNAGAGCCUGNGGNUUAAUUUGACUCAACACGGGGAAACUUACCAGGUCCAAACAUGGGUAGGAUUGACAGAUUGAGAGCUCUUUCUUGAUUCUGNGGGUGGUGGUGCAUGGCCGUUCUUAGUUGGUGGAGUGAUUUGUCUGGUUAAUUCCGUUAACGAACGAAACCUUAACCUGCUAAAUAGUAAGACUGAUGUUCAAUCGAUUUUACUUCUUAGAGGGACUAUGUGUAUUGAAGCACAUGGAAGUUUGAGGCGAUAACAGGUCUGUGAUGCCCCUAGACGUCCUGGGCCGCACGCGCGCUACAAUGACUUAUUCAAAAAGUUCACCUGGUCCGGAAGGAUUCUGGGUAAUCUUUUUAAUACAAGUCGCGUUAGGGAUCGAUCUUUGCAAUUAUAGAUCUUGAACGAGGAAUGCCUAGUAAGUACAUCUCAUCAUGAUGUGCUGAUUACGUUCCUGCCCUUUGUACACACCGUCGUCGCUCCUCCGAUUUCGAGUGGUCCGGUGAACCAUCUGGUUGGUUCAUGCCGGGCCGUUAACAAACCUAUCACUUAGACGAAGGUGAAGUCGUACAAGGGUUCCGUAUGCGACCUACGGAGGUCAUUAACCUUAUGGACA
rnacentral:rRNA from 1 species